rnacentral:rRNA from 1 species
AGUGAACGCUGGCGGUAGGCCUAACACAUGCAAGUCGAACGGCAGCACAGUAAGAGCUUGCUCUUACGGGUGGCGAGUGGCGGACGGGUGAGGAAUACAUCGGAAUCUACUUUUUCGUGGGGGAUAACGUAGGGAAACUUACGCUAAUACCGCAUACGACCUACGGGUGAAAGCAGGGGAUCUUCGGACCUUGCGCGAUUGAAUGAGCCGAUGUCGGAUUAGCUAGUUGGCGGGGUAAAGGCCCACCAAGGCGACGAUCCGUAGCUGGUCUGAGAGGAUGAUCAGCCACACUGGAACUGAGGCACGGUCCAGACUCCUACGGGAGGCAGCAGUGGGGAAUAUUGGACAAUGGGCGCAAGCCUGAUCCAGCCAUACCGCGCGGGUGAAGAAGGCCUUCGGGUUGUAAAGCCCUUUUGUUGGGAAAGAAAAGCAGCAGGUUAAUACCCCGCUGUUCUGACGGUACCCAAAGAAUAAGCACCGGCUAACUUCGUG